AUUGAACGCUGGCGGCAUGCCUUACACAUGCAAGUCGAACGGCAGCACGAUCUAGCUUGCUAGAUUGAUGGCGAGUGGCGAACGGGUGAGUAAUACAUCGGAACGUGCCCUGUAGUGGGGGAUAACUAGUCGAAAGAUUAGCUAAUACCGCAUACGACCGGAGGGUGAAAGGGGGGGACCGCAAGGCCUCAUGCUAUAGGAGCGGCCGAUGUCUGAUUAGCUAGUUGGUGAGGUAAAGGCUCACCAAGGCGACGAUCAGUAGCUGGUCUGAGAGGACGAUCAGCCACACUGGGACUGAGACACGGCCCAGACUCCUACGGGAGGCAGCAGUGGGGAAUUUUGGACAAUGGGGGCAACCCUGAUCCAGCAAUGCCGCGUGUGUGAAGAAGGCCUUCGGGUUGUAAAGCACUUUUGUCCGGAAAGAAAUCGCACUUACUAAUAUUAGGUGUGGAUGACGGUACCGGAAGAAUAAGGACCGGCUAACUACGUGCCAGCCGCCGCCGUAAGAC
rnacentral:rRNA from 1 species